rnacentral:tRNA from 1 species
GGUCGGGUAGCUCAGUUGGUUAGAGCACUGCAUUCACAUUGCAGGGGUCACAGGUUCGAGUCCUGUUCCGACCACCA